GGUGGGCUGGCAGAGUGGCUGAAUGCAGCGGUCUUGAAAACCGCCGACCGGGGUUCGAAUCCCUGGCCCACCG
rnacentral:tRNA from 1 species